UGGGGUGUGGCUCAGUGGCACAGCACUUGCCUGGCAGGCACAAGGCCCCGGGUUCCAUCCCAGCACCUCAA
rnacentral:tRNA from 1 species